AAAGGCCAACGUAUUUAAUAAGUGGCAUGAAACCACGGUCAAACAUUUAUAAAAAAGAAAGAAAGACAACCCAAUUCUAAUCAUUUCAUGAUUUUAACAAUCAUCAACAACAGGGAUUCUGCUGCAGCAGUACUCCACCCCACCCCCAACCUCCAACAUAAAUUUUUCGUUUUUAUUUUUGGCGCUGGGGAAGAGAUGACACUUGUCAGGCUGAUAUAGACUAUACGAGUGUCUGGGCGGCAGAGAUAAAUGUUGUAAGCCCUGACAGCCGCACUGCACAAAUACAAGGAGUCUCUUGCUACUGGAUGCAAACACUGCAAACCGUGAUUUUCAACGCUGGGCUGACGUUCAAAAGGAGGGACUCUAGCAGAUGUCCUGGUCAUCGUACCACAGAGAAAGAUCCUGCAAAAUCCCUGCGCAAUAAACCAGGUGGUGAGGGGGAUUGGCCAUCUAGCGAAGGUUAAGGACCGUGAUGGAAGGUGGCCGGACAUAACACAGGUUUAUAUGACACCUGUCCGUGAGAGCAGGGCAAUGGGAGAAGCCAUUACAAACGUGGGACCGAUAAGAGACAAGCUGUGUUAAUGGCCAACUACAGAGUUGAAUGUUUGUCCGCUGUGCCAAACCCAGCUGCUGUUUAUUACUUCCUAUAUGUCUACCUGUCUUGGUUAACAUACCAUGGACAUAUAGCAAUACUCAACUUUGUAUUCACAAUUGUAAUAAAAAGUUUGACACCACAAUGAAACGAUAAAA